rnacentral:snRNA from 1 species
AUAUUUUUCAAAAAAAUAAAAAUCUGUUCUUAUCAGUUUAAUAUCUGAUACGUCCCCUAUCUGGGGACCAUAUAUUAAAUUGAUUUUUGGAACAGGGAGAUGGAAUAGGGGCUMCUCCGUCCACUCCACGCACCGACCUGGUAUUGCAGUACCUCCAGGAACGGUCCACCCCGU